AACGAACGCUGGCGGCAUGCCUAACACAUGCAAGUCGAACGAGACCUUCGGGUCUAGUGGCGCACGGGUGCGUAACGCGUGGGAACCUGCCCUUAGGUUCGGAAUAACUCCCCGAAAGGGGUGCUAAUACCGGAUAAUGUCUUCGGUCCAAAGAUUUAUCGCCUUUGGAUGGGCCCGCGUUGGAUUAGCUAGUUGGUAGGGUAAAAGCCUACCAAGGCGACGAUCCAUAGCUGGUCUGAGAGGAUGAUCAGCCACACUGGGACUGAGACACGGCCCAGACGCCUACGGGAGGCAGCAGUGGGGAAUAUUGGACAAUGGGCGAAAGCCUGAUCCAGCAAUGCCGCGUGAGUGAUGAAGGCCUUAGGGUUGUAAAGCUCUUUUACCCGGGAUGAUAAUGACAGUACCGGGAGAAUAAGCUCCGGCUAACUCCGU
rnacentral:rRNA from 1 species